rnacentral:lncRNA from 1 species
ACUGACCUAAUUAUAUAUAUAUGUAUGUAUGUAUAGACACACUAGAUAUAUAUAUCUAUAUAUAUAUAUAUAUGGUGCUUAUACCCUGUUAACUCCUGUCAUAAAUAGAAUGCUGUUCAACUAACAUGAUUUACAGGUUGUUGUCUCACUUCAUGAAUACUCGCUACAGCUACAAUCAUGUAUCCAGUUUUUCUGAUUCUGGGGUACGAGUUCACAAGGUUCUCAUGAGAUUUCAAAAGUAGUUUGAGAUUUAUCAGGUAUCAAAAUUCCCGAUCUAAGUGCAGAUACCUAAUAAUUUUAAAAAAUUUGAAAGAUAUGUCGCCUGCUUGUUUUUUAAACAGUUAUAGUUUUACCUCAUGAAAUGAUUAUCGAUUUGUAUUACUUUGAUUGGUGCUUCUGUUCUGUACUUUAAGGGACCUAAGUCUUACCUUCUAGAGUUAAGUUUUUACCUUGUUAACUUUUAAAAAAUCAAGAUGUUUGCAUCUAUUGGUUGUGUAGAGUUGGAACAAGGAGUCAUUGUGUCAGAGUCAAUGGUGAUCUUCAAAGGGAAGGUGCAUUCAUCAAAGGAGGUUAAGUUAAAACUUACAUAGCAAGCAAACAUGGUAUGGGUUCUAGAAGCUCCUGUGAACAAAAAACAUAUAGAUAAAUCUUUCAUGUUAUAUAAAAACAUGCUUAUAUAGAAAUUGGUGGCGGAAAAAUUGGUCCUAUAGGAGAUCAGUGAAAAGUUAUCUAUUACAAAUAUAUGGAUAUUUGUAUGUUUGAAAGAGGUCAUGUGUGAGUUAGACAAAUGAUCAUAUUUGGUUAAGAAGCAAUUUGUGUCAGGAAAGAAAUUAAUAAUAAAACUCAUUACUUAUUUAAUCUAAUAUAUAUAUAUAUAUAUAUAUAUAUAUAUAUAUAUAAUAANNNNNNNNNNNNNNNNNNNNNNNNNNNNNNNNNNNNNNNNNNNNNNNNNNNNNNNNNUACUAUUAUUAUUAUAUAUAUAUAUAUAUAUAUAUAUAUAUAUAUAUAUAUAUAUUAAAAUGAAGGUGUCUACAUUGGUAGAGCCUCCGUUUGACAUUUGUCUCCACAAUAUUUUGUCAUGUUCAUAACAACCUUUAAUCUGCAAUGAAACAAAAAAAAAACAUCGAGGCAUCCAUGCGUAAAAAAUCGGAAUCAUUGGCUGCAUUAACUGCUCUUCAAAGCUAUAUUAAUCUGUCCUCUCAGAUUAUGAAACUAUUUAAUCAUUGGCUGUAUUAACUCCGAGGAACCACUAGAACCGUUUAAAGCCAUGAGGAAGGGGAAGGGAUCGGAGAGGUGGUUGCACAUUGAGCUUGAGGGGCGCGGUGGCAGUGAGGUUGUGGAUGUUUGGCGGGAGUACAUCGGAGAGGGCAUGGUUGCUGACUUGGAUAGUGGCGACGUGGUCACCAAAGCAACAGGCACCAUCCCAAUGGCUGCAGGGGCUGGAGAAGUCUAACCAGCCAAGCUUAUCGGCUGGAUCAAGGCACUUGGCAAGGGCCUGCGUUGCCGUCGUGUUGUCGGCGGCGAUCUGGACUGCCACUUAGGGUGCAUUAGAGAAGAGAACUACGGCGGCGGCAAGAACGAGGAGGUGGUGAUGGCGGUAGUGGUGGUAGGGAAAAUAGACCUUCUCCAUCACAGGAAAUAUCAUGGAUGGGGGUAGGAUUUGGAAUGCUGCAACGGAGAUAGACUUUAAGAGGCAAGAGGUUUAGUUGAAGGAAGGAGAGGAAGAUGGCAAUUAGCAUGGGAGGGGUUCGAUAUCUUUCUCAAAAGAAUGAUUGAUUUUUUCUCACACAAAUUUCAAAGCAAUUCAAUCACUUUCUUCCCUCUGUCAACACAACUUUGGAAGCUGAUAUUGCAUAAUCCAACGGUUGAUGGCAUGAAAGAAGGGGAAUCAGUCUUUUGCUCGACAGAUAUAAUCCGAACACGAGGAAGGGAAACUAUUGAGUGUGACGAGAGCAAAACGACGGGACCUGCCUUGAUUAAGAAAAGAUGAAAAGGUUGACCCAAUUUUGCACCCCACGCUGCAUGGCGAUGAAGAGAAGAGAUGUCAUGGUGAAAUUAUGGUGGGAACCGGUUGGCGACCAAUGGGUGCCGUGGGUCUCUUAGUAUUAAAUUAGAGACAUAAGUUGGGACUCUGCUGGAAUUUGGGCCGGUGACUAUGCAGGAUUUCCAUUCUAAACUUGGAAACAAUUUUAUUUUCAUAAAUAUCCCUAUUUGUUUUCUAACCUUUUAGCAUUCUAUUAAUUAAAAAUUAAACUUAAUAAGGCUUUGACCUGCUCAGAGAAUUGUGGUAGCUGGUAGGUAUAUAUGAAUGGGAUUCUUUAAGGAUCUAAAUCUGGGUAUAUAAAUUGAAAGAUGUUGGGAAAAGUUUAAUAGGUAGGUUUUGCAAAACCAUAAAGGAGUUCUUGAAUUCCAGAGCAUCUGCAAUUUGAAUAGUAUAGAGAGCCAUAUGUUGGACCGUGUAGCGUUUUGAUGCUGAUACAAUAAUUUGUGUGAUGUCAGAUAAUAAGAUCAAAUGAGUGAUUUAGUGAUGGGUUGAGGAAAAGCAUGAGCUAUCAAGGGCUGAAGUAAGAUUUAUCUUCUUUUCUUUAUGAGGUAAUGUUCCACUCAAACGGUUUGUAUUAUGCAUAGUUAAGUUGAGCUUUAGAAAUUUCAUCUAAAGUUAUAUAAACUUUAAGUAAAAGAUAUAAUAAAUAAAAUAUAAACAUAAUAGAUAAACAUAAUAGAAUAAAUUUGGAAAAAAAAAACACCCCCGCACAUUGCACGGGUUGUAUGCUAGUAUAUAUAUGUAUGUAUGUGUGUGUGUAUAUAUUAAAAUGGAGGCCUCUGCAUUGGCAGGGGCUUCGUUUGCCAUGGGCAACAACGCAGAGGUCUCCAUCUACCACGUCGCAACGCGCUCGCAAUGCUCGCAGAGGUUAUGGCGGUGGUAGGGAGGGGGCACCGGUGAAAGGUGUGGACAAUGGAGCUGGCAUGGGAGAGACCGAGGAGGUGGAGGCCAGGGAAGUCAGUGGCACCGGCGGUAGUGAGGGAAGGGGAGAGGGCAAGGAGGGAAUCGAUGGCGGGGAAGUGGGUGAGGGCACUAAUGCGACGGCAAUGGGUGGGGUUGAAGGCGGUGAUCUUGCUGUCAUGGGUGAUGAGGAGGGAGCUCGAGGGGACGGCAAAGAUGGCGGAUGGAGGGCCACGGUCAGGGAGGGGUAGGGGGAGGGCGAAGGAGCGAUGGAGGGCGAAGGGGUCAAAGAGGGAAGGAUCAGAGGAAAAAAAUAUUUUUGAAGACACCUGUCUCCACAGUCCACAGUAUUUUACCACAUAUCAUAACAAUCUUUAAUUAAUCUACAUUGAAACAAAAAAAAUUGAGGCAUUCGUGCAUAAAAAAUCGAAAUUGUCGGCUUAUUACAUUAAAAUCACACUUAAUUGCAGAUGAUGGGACAACAGGAGGACUUCUUCGUGAGGUCAUCAAAAGCUAUUACUAUGCUCCUUUCAAUCUGAUAAUCCGUAUCCCACCAGCUACAUCUAGCCACAUUUUAAAUAAUGUUAUUUCAUACUCAAAUUUUGAGAAUAAAAAUAAGGGUAGCUACCUCUUUAUGAGUAGAGAUAUUUUUUAAAUUAUACUUAAAUAUUUCAAUUGAUUUAUGUAGGACUGGAACUGGAUCAAAUAUGAAUGAGAUGUCAAUAUAUUAAUAUCUAUAUUUUAAUAUAUAUAUUAAUAUAUAUAGAUAUCGAUAUAAAUAUCAAUGGGUCACAAAAAUAUAUAUCUAUAUUUAUUUUGAAUAAAUAAAAAUAUAAAUUAAAUAAUGAAAGUAUAAAUGUGAAUAAGGUAUGAAUUAGAUAAUUAAAUGUUAUCAUUACAUAAUAAAAAUAUUACAAAAUAAAUGAUAAAUCAAAUUAAUAGAAUAAUAAUAUGAUUAUAUAUAUUUAAAAUAUUAUGAAUAGUAUAUAAAAUUAAAUAAGAUUAUAAACAAACUUAUAUAUUCGAAUGGAUAAUUGUGACAAAUAUGGAUAUAGAUACUAAUGAAUGCUCUGCUCAAAUUUCUAUCCAUAUUCAGAUAUGUCCAAAUACUAUAAUAGAUCGGAUAUUCGUACAACAAUUCACUUUCAUCCUAAAUUAAAAAAGAGCUAAAAGCAAACAUUUAAAGUAUAUCUUCUUUUAAAGGAGAGGAUCGAAGAUGGAGAAGGAGAGAUGGAAGGAUUUAAAAAUGGUUAAAAAUAAAAAUAGUAAAAAAUGAUGGGUUUAGAAAGGAGCUUCGUGGAAUUAGGAUUGGAUCUUCACAAGAUUUGUCAAAUAGCUUAUAAUGCAUGCUAUGCACAAAAUAUAUAAUUUUUUAAUUAUUUUAACUAUUUUUAAAAUACAUAUAGAAUAGAUAUAAUAAAAUAGCUAGAUAAAAUUAAAUAUUAUUUUAAUAAAAUUGCAUUUCAUGUAUCGCAUGGGGUUAUAAGCUAGUAUAUAUAUAUAUAUAUAUAUAUAUAUAUAUAUAAANNNNNNNNNNNNNNNNNNNNUAGUAUAUAUAUAUAUAUAUAUAUAUAUAUAUAUAUAUUAAAAAUGAGGCAUUUGUGUUGGCAGAGCCUCUAUCCACCACACGUGGAUAUAAAAAGAAAAAUACAAGGGGGGCAAAUGCAAGGCUAGGACUAACAUGCUGCCACCAUUUCUGAGUAAAAUAUAUGACAUAGUGAAGGAUCCAAUGAUGGAUGCGAUCGUAUUGUGGGGCUUGGGGAACAGUAGCUUAGUGGUUUGGAACAUGCCGGAGUUCGCAUAGGACCUCUUACCCAAGUACUUCAAGAACAACAAUUUCUCCAACUUCGUCCGCCAACUCAACACCUAUGUAAGCCCUUUCUCUCACACUCUCACCCUUUUUUGAUGAUUCCCCUUCGAAUUGUCUCUCUUUGCCUUUCUUGGAUGCAACGAAACGAGUGGAAGAGUCCAUGACGUCGGUUUGGAGUUGGAGUUCUGAGUGGAGUGAUGGUGAUGAGGGGAAUGAGGGCAGGAUUUAUAGAAGAUUGGUUUUAUUUAGAAUAUUUUUUUUUAUUGAAGUUAUAGUUGGAAUUGCUAGGGAGUUGGGAUUGCGGUCCGUCCGGGGGGGGCUGUGAAAGUGGUUGGGGAAAAUGGGAUAUCAAAAUGCUUUCAUCUAACAUGUAAUAUUAGCUUAUAGGAGUUGAGAAUUAAGAGAAUUACUAAGGGUAGUUUUUGGAAGGAAGAAUGGUAUGUGUCAUUCUUGUAAGGACUAGGGGUCGGGCAUCACGGUACUCGUGGAGAUGCGGAGAGGCUUCUGCAUUGGCAGAGCCUCCGCUUGACAUGUGUACUUAAAAGAGAAGGCCUCACUUUCUCCCACCCUCUGCAACGUCGAUCCGUGUAAACCUCGUGUUCUCGAAUCUGGAUAGAGAGAGGAUAUGUGUCCCUCUUAUGCUUCUUCAUCUUUAUCUUUUUCGUUCGCUUUGUUUCAUGUGUAAAUUGGAUUCGAAAGGGAAUUUUAGUUAAUUUCGUUAGCCUUUAAAUGUUCGGGCUAGACUCGGCCUCCUUCGAUCUCUUGAUCUUGAUCGGAGGAAGAAAGAUUGCCGCCACCGCCAGGUUCUUGAUUUUGAUUCCAAUUGGGAGUUUGGUUCCAUUUCUGCCUCCGAUCAAUCGCUAGUGCGGGGUUUAGAGGAUCUUGAUAGAAGUUGACAAAAAAAUGGGGAUAGAUUGCGUGAGAAAGGAAGGAGAGAUCUCGAGAAUGAUAGUGGGGUGCUGAAAGACUAUGGAAGUGUUUUUACCUUGGCGAUGGAGAUGUGCUUAACAUUGCUCGCGAGGCUUUCAAGGUCUCCUCCUUUUCCUUUGUCUUUUCUUAAUGGGUUCUACUGUUGAGACUUAGUUCUUUUCUUCUUUUUGUUUUUGUUUUUUGUUACAAACUUUCAAUUGCCUCUCAUAUUCAAAGAACUGACAGCGAUUAUCUGACACUGUAUAUUAAAGACGCCAAUCGUAAGGGGAGGAUCAAAGAAGAAAUAAAAGAAGAGAUAAAAAAAGAUUUUUAAAGUUUAGAUUUCUAAACUUUUUUUUAAAAAAAAAAAGAAAGAUUUUUAAAAUUUAGAUCUCCAAAAUUUCAAUAUCGGAAGAAAAAGAAAGAUUUUUCUCGAUCUCUAAAGUUUAAAUCUCUCAUGAGCCAUCAGUUGGAGGCAUGCUCAUUAACCAAUUUCUGAUUAGUAUCUCACAAGGCCGCUGCCUAUCAUUACAUUGGUAUAUUUUCGUUCCGCCCCAAACUCGAAGAUGCUGCUGUCAUUGGUGGUAGUGGUGGCCGACAGGCAACAUUGUCGGUCUGCUAUUGGGAGAGUUGGGGAGUGUGCAAGGAGAGGAUCGAAAGAGAAGGGGAAGGAGAGAUGGAAAGGUUUAACAAUGGCUAAAGAUAAAAAUAGUAAGAAAUGAUAGAUUUAUUUAGGGGCUUCACGGAAUCAAGGUCGUCGAUCUUCACAAGAUUUGUUUAAUAACUUAUAAUCCACUCUAUGCACAAAAUAUAGUUCUUUUAUAAUUUAAAUUAUUUUUGGAAAUACAUAUAGUACAGAUAUAAUAGAAUUGAUAAAUAAAAUAAAAUAUUUUUUUAAAAAAAUUGCAUCCAUGCAUCGCACGGGUUUAUAAGCUAGUUACUUAAUGAAUCACAAAAAAAAUAUGCAAAUAAAAUCGUGUGAUGAGUUAAUGGCUUGCUUGGACUUGACAAUAGACAGGCAUAGGUGCAGUCAACUGAUGCCUGUAAAGCAUGGAGGAGGACAUCGACAUUUGAUCCACGAUAGGUAAAUGCAUAGGAGACAAUGACCACACAUGAGCUGAAGUGGUACCUUGUCUCAACGCAUUAGAAAUAGAGUUUAAGAUCUGUUUAUAUGAGUUCAAGGGACAACAAUUGUUUAUUAAGAUGAGACUGUAGCAAAGAGACUUAAGUUUUUGUCAAUUUCAUGUUCUGAAGCAGGUGGCACGUCCCCCGGCUAAAUUAUUUGAUGUACUGCAUUACUUGUUUCUCUAUUAAUGAUGGUGCAAGGACAAUAAUCUGCCUCUCCUUGUAUCUCCUUUUCCUCACAACAACUCUAUACCUUCACCGCUGGGAGUAGGUCUUCCAACAUUUGACAAGAACUUGAUGUGUCCAAGUGUGUUUGGUGGACCUUCAAGUCCUGACCCAUCCGACAAAAACCUAGAGGAUUUUAACUUCUGUUUAUUCUUGGCAUAUGACAUAACAAAUAUAAAUUCAUGUGCAUGCAAACAACAACAUCUCCAUUUUGUUUCAUUUUCUUGAAGCUGGCUUGAUAACAUAAUCUAACCUUUCCUUUCUUCUCUGUCAACUCAAAACAUGAAUUAGAGCCAUCCCAUGAAAAUCUAAUAUGAAAUAUAUCUUCUUCAGGGUUUCAUUGAAGCUCUUUUGAUUAGAGACUAGCGACAGGUUGCUAAACACUUUGUUGUCCUUCUAACACUGAAACCACAAUAUCAUGUUGUUCCAGCAGACCCAAACUAGGCAUGUGUAUUCAGACUCGGCAUUGAAGCCCAACAUGUAGCUUUGAAGUCCAAGUUGCUGCAUAUUUGCAAGUUAUUGAUUGGAUAAAAAGGAUUCACUUUGAAAAGGAUUCAUAUUUGCAAAGUUAUUGAUUUGUGGGUUCUAUCAGUUUUUUCCCAUGACAGUUACCAUCAUAACCUUUUAUUCCAUUAGGUUCCACGGUUUUCUACAUACAAAUUUCAUGUGAGCAUUGACUUAAUUAUUGUUGCUAGAUGACAUAGGACACAAUGUUGGAUGUGAUGGAAGAUAUUGUGAAUCCUUUAAGUUUGAUGUCUCAUGGAGAAUUUACCUUGAUCUUUUAGAAAGCCUGGUUCGGUUCCUCUAAGUUUGAAUUUUUGUUUUGCAGUUAUGAUUAUCUUUUUCCUUUUUGCAUUUAUGUCACCAUGGAGCAUGACAUGAGGGUAUAUUUCAGUAGGGAGGCAUAUGACGUCAUAGCAGAGGCAUGAUAUGAGGUAUUUCACUAGUUUAAUAGCCAAAAGAGUAUAAACUCAAAGCUUUUUUGAGAUACUUUGAAAGCCUUUCCAUCUCAACUGGUUUUAAUAAGCUUGCUAAUGCAAAUAGCUAUUUCUUAAUGAAUAACAAUGCAAUGCUAGCUCCGAUAGGUUCCAUCAUGACCGGUAAAGCAAUUCCUUUUGCAUAUAUCUAGCUAGUCAUUUUUCUUCUUGUAUUGCAGUAAUGGUGAGAAGAAUAAACUAGUUGCAUGAUUUGGGUAGGACAGCAAAAUAGGCAGGAAGUUGCAAACUAUACUCAUAUAUCUAAUCCAUAUAUCAGCCUUGGUCUCAUAUACAUUUUUAGGCUGCACUUUGCUGGGAAAUAUUUGGCUUGAGCCUGGCUUUAUGGAAUGAGAUGUAAUUAGUAUCAUAUAUGUUAAUGAUAUAGAAAUUAUUAAUUGCAGAUUUGAUGCAUUCAAAUAUACUAAUGAUUUGCAGAAAUUUUCUGUUAAGUUUUUGUUACUGUUAUUAUCAAAUUUCAGAUAUGAUACAGUAGAAUUUUCUGCAUUCUCUAUCCUAUAUUACAUCACCAGAGGUCAUCGAUGUUUGAGUUGCCUAGUUUAUAUGAUCUCCAAUCUACUACCAUUUGUCCAUUUGCUAGCCAUACUUCUUCCAAGUUAUGUAUGCUAAAUGGUAAUGGCAUAUCAGUGCUGUGGAUUGGAUAGCAUCUCUUCUCAGCACAUGAUGUGCUUUUAUAAUUUGUUUCCAACCACAACAUUCCUGUUCAAUCGAAAUAUGUUCAAUUAAGUAACUUUUGGAGGAGAUAACUGUGCAACAAAGUUAUUGGACUUGGUCAGGUCGUGGCAGGAGGUGAUGUGCUGCUACAGUUCCAAUAUUAAUGUAAGCAAACUUUCAUGGCCUAGUUUAGAUGGAACUUAUGAUUUUAACACUCUUUUUUUGCGUAUCUUUUCAGGUGUUUAUUUUAAUAAUGACCCCCGACUUGUCAUAGGAUGUGGUUUUCUGGUGAAGAAAUGCUGCAUAUCAACAUGUGUAUCAUGUAUAUGCAAGAUUAUUUGAUAUGUACCCUACUGUUAAGGGCCGUUACAGCAGAGGGGAUUGCCAAGGAGGUCAACAAGUUACUUCUCACAGUCUUAUACUGUCUUUUAAGAAGAGGCAACCAUUUUAGCAAAUCAAAUGCCUUUUGCAUGCCUCAUGCCAGGAUAUAUUUUUUAUUAUGGAAACUUUAAGAAAGAACCACAUUAGAAAUGAGCAAGAGAAAUGCAACUAUAGUUUACCCAUGUGCAUAGUAAGCCACGUGCUGGUCUGGUAAGGUCUUGAAUAUAUGUUGGAGGACCAAACAAGAGGAAUUUGACAAUAAAAGAAAGUUUUGGGAAAGAGUAUCCAGCUAUAAUUAGAAGGGACUUUUUGUUUUGGAGGGGUUAAUUAUAAAAGUAGAUGCCUUAUACCACCUAUCAAUUGUAUUAUCUAAGAUAAUUUAUUUAUUUUUUGUGCUUCGAAAGAAAAAGUCGACUAAUGGAAGCCAUUAGACAUGCAGUGGGAUAUUUUUAACACAAAUAUCUGGAAAGCCAAAAAAGGUGGAACUUUUCAUAAGGAUCGAGAUUGGGAUCUCAAAAAAACCCAAUCAAUCUCGAGAAAAUCCAACCCUAGGUGUCCAAUAUGCUUCCUAUACAGAGGUUGUCGUAUGCAAAGUUUUCCUUAUUCUGCUUGAAUUCAAUGAGCAAUUGCAUAGGAUGUUAGCCAAUGAAAAGGCCAUGAGGUGAAAGAUGAUUGCAAUGAGAGAUCUUGAUAAUGCAACAUGAGAUCUUAAUAAUAGCAACCACUUGGGAGGUAUAACGAUACUUUUGCUUUAAAGUGAAAAGGGAUGUCAUUCGAUGAGAUGUUCCCAUGCAAUGGUAUCAUUAAGCAAGUUUUAAAGAAAUCAGUGUUUGAGAUUGUGUACAUUUGGUUUCCCUUCACUUAUAUUCACAAGACUCUGGUCUGCAAGGAGCAACUGAAGUGUCUUUUUAUGACUGGAUCAUCAUUAUUUUUUUCCUAUUUAUUUAUUUAUUUUCUUUCUUACCUUGCCUGUUUUUCCUAUCUUCAGAUAAGAAUUAGCAUGGCAUUCAAGGUUUUCUUGCCACAAACCUUGGCGAGCUCCUAGAUGCGAUUUAGGCUGCAUUUUGUAAGAAAAUGUUUGACCUGAGUUUGGACUUCAUUAAAUGAGAUAUAAUUAGUAUCAUAUAUGUUAAUGAUACAGAAAUUACUAAUCUCUGAAAUGAUAUACUGUAUUCAAAUGUGCUAAGGGCUUACAGCCUUACAGAAAUUCUCCUGUAAAGAUUGCAUCAUAAUUAUUAUUAUGAAAUGAUAUAACAGACUUUGCUGCAUGGUCAGUCUUUCAUAACACCAAAGGUCAGCAAUGUUUUGUGUUGCUUAGUUUAUACAAUCUUCAAUCGACUAACAUUUUUACACUUUCCAACUGCAUUACUAAUUAUCCAUGUUAAAAUUUAUAUUGGCUCUGACGACAUCACACUACCGUGGAUGUGAUAGCAUCUCCUCUCCAAAUAGGAUUGCCUUGAGGUAAUGAGGUCUACCGCUACAGACAUUUUUAUAGGGUGCUUUUAUAAUUCGUUUCUGAGCACAUUUUUUCUUCUCAAAUUGAAAUAUUUCAACUAAGUAAAUUUUGCAGGGGAAAACUGGACAGCAGAUUCACUGGACUUGGUCAGAUCAAAUUGUAGGACAUGAUAUGCUGCUACACUUUAAAGACUAUUGUUAAGCAAACCUGUCAUGGCAUAGUUUAAAUGGGAUCCUUACUGCUCUAUUCCGAUAUUUCAUCUACUAACAACCCUCAGAUUUGUGAUGGCAUGUGCUUUCCUGGAAAAGAAUGCUGCAUAUCAUCAUGUAUGCCAUGUAUAUGCAAGAUUAAUGUGAUAUGUAUCCACCUUUAGGGGAGAAAUUAUUGCGUGCACUGCUUGCACAGCCACGCUAGUGCACACCACCAAUUGCUGAGGUGUAUUGCUGCAGGCCAAUCAUUGAGACACCACCAAUCACCAUGAUGCGUCAGCAUGGUUUCUAUUCAUCCCGCACUCAUCUCAGUCACAGGCCCGCAUUAAAACACCUCGGCAAUCAAUGGCGUGCUUAAAGGCGGGAGAAAUUAUUGCAUGCACUACAUGCGCAGCCACACUAGUGCACACCACCAAUUGCUAAGGUGUAUUGCUACGGGCCAAUCACCGAGACGCCACCAAUUGCCGAGAUGCAUUAGCGUGGUUUCUAUUCAUCCCGAACUCAUCUCGGUCAUUGGCCCGCAGCAACACACCUUGGCAAUUGGUGGCAUGCACCAGCAUGGCCGUGCAUACAAUAAUUUCUCCCUUUAAGGGGGCAACUUAAUAAAGGGGAUUGUCUAGGAAUCAACAUGGUAUUUCUCAUAGUCUUCUAAUGUCUUUUGAGUUUGAUGCAACCAUGCUUAGCAAAUCAGAUACCUUUUGCAUGCCCCUUGCCAGGAUGUACUUUUUUAUUAUGGAAAUGGUCAGAAUUUAGAAAACAAUAUGAUGUUUUAGGCAAGGAUUCAGGUUUCAGCGAGACGUUUAUGGGAUAUUGGGAUGGGAUACCAUCCCAUGUGUCGGGAUAGGCCAUUCCGCUAGCAUCCCAAUAUCUCGAUCAAGACAUCUUGGAAUAUCUUCUAUCCCAGGUGUCGGGAUAGAGCGUGACGGUGGUGUGUCCCGUUUUCUCAUGAAAAUUGGAACAGCCUCGUCCCAUGGAAUUUAAAACCUUGAUUUUAGGUUCUAUACCACAUUAGAAAUGAGUGAGGGGAAUGCAACUACUGUUUAUCCAUGUGCAUUGUAAGCCACAUUCUCAUCAUGGUAGGGUCAAAUAUAUAUUGAAGGAUGUAAGACUUUGACAAUGAAUGAAAGACUUGGCUAUCAUCAGAAAGGACUUUUUUAUUUGGUGGUUUAGUCUUCCAAGUAAAUUUGAUAUACGGGCCUUUAAUUGCAUAAGCUAAGACAAUUUAUAUGUUUACUUUGUGGCCCAUGUGUAAUUGGUGUUUUGGAAGAAAAAGUAAUCAGCAAUUAGAUAUGCAUUGUGAUCAUUUUAACAUAUAUUUUAUAGUCCACAUGUGCAAGGUGGCAUGCAUCCAUGGUGCCACAUUCAACAGCCACAUGCUACUGAAUCAAAGUUCACACUGAUGGCUGGCAAGGAGAUUGCAGAGAUCUCAAAGGAUCAACAAAUUUAGCACCCUUUGAUAUUAAUUUAUUGGUUUAAUAAUGUUGGCUAAAUGCUGUUGAACAAGAUUUUCUAAAAAUAUCUGAUUAAAUUUAAUCAAAAAGAUCACAAGGCCUUAUUUUUGAGGAAAAAUAAUCUGAUACUACUAUCAGAAGAAGAAGAAUAUCAGAAGGGCCUUUUUUUUUAGAAAAAAAGAAAGAAAUAUCUAUAUCUCAUCACACACACACACACACACACACACAUAUAAUAAACUUGCCUAUUCUCAUUCCCUGAAAGAGAUUAUGAGAGUUUUGUUUUGAAGAACCAUAUAUCAUCUCCUUCAAGAUAUCAAACUAGCCCAUUCAUAUUUCUUGAAGAAGAAAAGGAAGGACAAGAAGGGAUGCUGCAAAAAAGGACAUGGAGGGGGAAAAAUAUUGGACGCUGCCGUGGUCUCAGCUCUCAUAUGAGAUCAGGCAACCUCAUCAUCUCUAGGAAUAAUAGUCAUUUUUUUUGUUAUUAGUCUUUUUUCCCCCUUGAUCCCUGUUUAUCUGAAGGCAUCAAUGUAUGGUUGGUUCUAUGUCAAAUAAUUUGAGAGUGCUACUUUCCAGCACCCACUUACUUUGCCAAUGAGAGCACCAAUCCUUCGUGGCAGUUAAGCGUGUGGCCACGUAGAUGAUCGGAGAACCCUGCAUGGUACCAAUCUAUCAAUCACUGCAUUCUGGUGCUCUGAGUGGGGGAUGAUGCAGUGAAACUUUAUUCAUAAUUUAAACAGUCCAAGUCCCAAGUCCUAAUUUCAUUUGUGUGACAUGUUUUGUUUUUAAGGCAGAGGAGGCUACUAGCUAAGGAACUUUAAAGAGUGGCAGUUUUGGUAAAGUUUUUUGGCACUACUUAUCAUAAUAUGUCCUCAAUCAUUUUAGCUUCCAUAGCAGGUUUAUAUAAUGGAUCAUGGAACGUAUUUCUAAUCCUUGGUUUUCUCUCCUAGCAAAUGAUGUAGCUACUGACUGGUGUGUACCUAAUAUGGGACUGCAGCAAGGGUGUCCAUUAUCUCCUUAUCUAUCUAUUUUGUUCUCUGAAUUACUCUCAUGUGCUUUACAUAUGGCAGUGGAUCACAAAUUAUUAAAGGCCUAUAAAUCUACCGGAAUGGUACCUGUAAUAUCUCAUGUUUUAUUUGCAGAUGACUGUCUAAUUGUGGCUAGAGCUGCAGCAAAAGAUAGUCUCUGGGUGAAACUUGUUCUUGACACAUAUUGUCUAUUUUCAAAUCAAGCUGUUAAUACUUCUAACUCAUAUAUCAUGUUUGGCCCAUCCACUCCAAGAACAAUUUAAGAUCAGAUUUGUCAUAUCUUUCAAAUGCAUUGCAAUGAGAGGGUUUGGAGAUAUCUUGGGGUGACCUUUUCAGGUAUGAGGCUUAAAGCAUCUAACUUUAAUCAAAUGAUGGACCAAGUCAUAAUGUGGAUUGAAAGUUGGCAAUGGAAGGCUCUUUCCCUUGCAGGAAGAGCAACCUUGCUUCAAUCUGUAUUGACGUCUAUUCCAUUAUAUUGUGUGUCCUGCAUCUAUAGUCCUCCUUUGGUAUUGAGACAACUAGAAAAUAUUUUCGGGCUUUUUUGUGUGGACAUGAUCUUAAUCACCAAGGCUUACACUUAGUAUCUUGGGAUUUGGUGUACUGGCCAAGAUCACAUGGAGCUCUUGGUAGUCAAUCUCUUCUAAUUAAGCAGCAGAUUUUUUUAUCUAAAUUGGCUGCUCAAAAGGUGCUGCAUGCUGAAUCACUGUGGGCUAUAUUAGUAUGUGCCAAAUGUAAAUUUCAAGGAUCCUGGUAUUCAUAUACAAGGCCACAACAUUGCUCUAUAAUUUGGAAAAAGAUCUAUGGUACAACAUCAAUUCAUAUGGAAUGUUAGUAUGGCAACAAAAUAAAUGUGCUUGAUGAUCCAUGGAUUUUUUCUAAUCCGCUUUCUUUAUUGGCCUACUUACAUCAAUAUGGGAAUAAUAGAUGUUUUGGAUAUGCAGGUAGCAUCCAUGGUUCUAAAUCCAGACAAAGGUGUCCCGGUUUCUCCAUGGAUGGGUCGUCUCGUUGUCCCCUCCCAUCCCGACAAUUGUCCUAGUCAUGCAUCCUGGUAGAUUUCCUCUAUCUUUCUCCCCUUCUUCUUUUUUUUCUUUCUUUUUUUCUUCUUUCUUUUCUUUCUUUUCCUCUAUCUUUUUUUCUUUCCUUUAUUUUUUCUUUCUUUUUCAUCUCCCUUUCUUUUUUUUUCAUUGUUCUUCUUCUUUUCUUUCAUUUUUUUUUCUUUAUCUUUUCUUCCUUUCCUUCUUUUCUCUUUCUCCUUCUCUCCUGCAUGAAUGUUUUUCAGAGUCUCGAGCCUGUCCCAAUCCCAUUUUCUCACAGAAGCGGGAUGGGACGGUCGGGAUGCCCCCAUCCUGCUAGGACGUAAAACCUUGGUAGCAUGAUUUAUUUCUCCUCUGGGUUCAUGGAACCAGUCCCUAUUAGGUGCUGUUUCCCUACUGAUAUGAUGUCCAAAAUACUUAGCAUCCCCUUGCUGCUUGGAAAUUGGUCUGAUCAGCUCAAUUGGGGUACCAGCUGGAUCAUACUUCCUUGCAAGAUUUUUAUACUUUAUGACCUCCACUAGGUAACUCAAGUAAUCUUAAAUGGCUGUGGGGCUUACAAGUUUCUAGAAGGGUAAAAAUCUUUUGGUGGAAACUGGUGCAUUUAAAACUUCCUUGUGAAGUUGUUUUAGCAAGCUGUGUUAUUCUUCUUGAAGAUGCUCAAUAUUGUGAUCUGUGUCCAGUUCAUAUUGAGGAUUGUGAACAUGUAGCAGUUGCUUGUUCUUAUGAGAGCGGCUUGGGUUUCUUUUCUACCUCUUUGCGGAAAAUAUGUCCUAAAGUCAAUCGUUUGAUAAUUGUGCUAAUUAUAAUUGUAUAUGAAUUGAUAAAUAAUAAAAAUUAUUUGAUCUUUUUCAUCACAAGGUUACAUCUUUUAACGAACUUCUAUGUUAUGAUGAAAUCCUUAGGAUUACUUUGAUCGAUAAAGAAGGAUUUAUCGCGUAAUCUUUAAACUGGUUCGCGAUCAAAUGAUACGCUAUUACUAGGACGAUAGCAAUAUCAAGUGCAGAUCGUGGUGUGCCAUAUGCGUUGGUUGUCCUCGUAACCAAAUAAUGUGGAGAUACUGGUAUAGCAUGUAGGUGAGAUGUAGGAGUACAUCGUCACUGAAUGUAACCAACUGCGGAACACUCUACUGUCAAGGACAGCUCGUGAAGGGUAUGGGUAUAAGUAUUCCUCUGACUUGAGAUCACCACGGUGACUUGCAAGCAACUCACUGUACUUUAGUGCCGGAUUAACGGAGUUUCUAAUUCAGUGAUGGAAGAUUUUUAGGUGCAGUCAAGUACUUAUCAAGUCGGUGCGUGAGUCAAAAUGUGAUUGAUCCCUCCGAAUUAGUAGGAGUUAAUGUAUCAAUAUAUUUCAAUUUAGCAAAAUCUGGACUCGGAUAACCAUGUGAUGGAUUUGAAAAAGAUUGAAAUACAAUGUGGAUGACUUAUCUAGGAUUGACAGUUAAAUCCUAGAUCGUCCUCGAGCAUUAGGGUCAAAGAGAUGAAUUAUACGGUAACCAUACGUCAGUAGGUUCUUGAAUGUUGCUUCAUCUUCAUUCGACCUAUCCGGAUGUCGGAUCAUCAUUGCUACAUGGUUACAUCGAUUGGUUCAGAAAGUUGUUCCUGUGCUACCAGCUUAAGUUCAAACUUAUGAGGUUACACUUAAAAGAAGUUUCUGACUAAUCAUGUGGCUGAUCAACGAUUGAGAAUUGUUCAAGGACUUAAUCGUCAAUUCAAUUGAUGGUUAACGUUAUGCAAAAGUUGUAAUAAAUUAAUUCACUAAAUGUUAUUGAAUUAAUGGAAGAUUAAUUAGCAAUUAGAUUGCUGAUUAGCUCAAUUUGAUUAAGCAAAGAGGAUUAAAUAAAAUCUAAUUGAAUUGAAUUCAAUUAGGUUUGAUCCGAUUAGAUUAUGAGAUAACCUAAUCGCUAAGGAAGAAUUAUCCCUGAUUUGAUUAGGACUUUGAUUCAAUCAAUUCCUAACUUGAUUGGGAUUUGAUUAAGGAUUUAUGAACCUAAUUAGAUUNNNNNNNNNNNNNNNNNNNNCUAAACCAGAUGUGAUUUGGUUUGGAUUCAAAUAAGAAAAUUAAGAGUCCUUAUUGGAAUAGGACUCUUUUCCCUUGCGCCAACCCACUUUGCACACCAUCUAUCUCCACGCACAAAUAGUUUUUGUAUGAGAUUUUUUCACGCUAAAGAGUUUUUCUCCCUCUCUAUCUCAUGUCCAAAUCGAAUUUGGUUUUGAUAAAAUGAAGGUUUUGAAAUUGGAUUUCAAAAUAUUCCUUAUCAGAAGAAUCUGUUCUUAUCCAAAUCAACCUUUCCAUGCCACCUUAUUUUUUUCUCCUUAUAUGUGCGAUAUUUUGAGGAGAUUUUUUGUGAAAAAAUAGUUGGAGAACUGAUUUACCAUGAAAAAAUAUGGAAAGGGGCAUCUCAUAUUUUUUUGGCGUGUUUUGGGAUGUGAAAUUGUGUAGGGAGGCAACAUCUUGUAAGAGUCCAUGAUCUCUUGGACUCUUCACCCCACCUCCUUGCAUGUCUAUAAAAGAGGCUUUUGUGGUUUCUUUUGUGCGUGUAAGAUACCAGAAGAAGAGUUCUUUACGUGAAGGGGCUUGGGGUGUUGGUUUCAUGGCGUGAAAGAAGAGGAGAGUCCUCUUCUCUUGGGGUGUGCGUAAAAAUCAGGUUUCUAGGAUUUUGGUCCUCAGGAUUUGAGAAGAGAGAAAAAAUAAGAAGAGAAUUAUUUUUCUCUCCAUCUUUCUUUCACCUCUUCAUCUCCUCCAGAAGUUCAUCUUCAACCUCUGAAAAGAUUUCAGAGAUUUGAAAAAAGAUCCUAAUCAGCCAAGAAGAAGGUUUUCGCACGAGCUAGUGCUCUCGAGAAGACUGAUCAGAUCGGAGCUUCGAAUAGACUUUCCGUAGAGGCCGGACGCGUGUGCGGCUGCGAGCAACCAAUGAUGAUCCUCUCUACCAUAUCUCUCAGCAGCGGCGAUCAUCGAUCUGCGCAAAGAUAUCGAGUUAUAAACUCAGAUUAGAAGUAGAUGUGAUCUACUGCUCACAUGCAUGCUGAUUUUAUCUUCAGUAUUUUUCAGAUUUUAUAUGCAAUAUAUCAUGUCAUAGAUCCUAAAGUAGAUUGAUUUGAUGAUUAGAUCAUAUGCAUGUUAGAUUAAUUUGAUUAAUCUAAUUGUCUUCCACUGUAAUUUAUUCGAAAAAGUUUCGAAACACAUGCAUGAAAUCGCCUAUGUUUCCCAACACUUUGAAUAAUUCUGUUAACCUAGCAGUUUCUACAUUUGUCCCUUCGCUGCACCCGCUUCUUGGAGUAUUGGAACUUAAUUUUGAUGGCUCAGUUCAAGAUAAUCCUCUGUCUUCAUCUGCAGUAUCGGUGAGAAAGGCAUUUGUGUUCUUAGUUGAUAUGUUUCAGAACCAACAAAAUUACUUGUUUCUUGCUCAAGCAAGGUACUGGAGUAGUUAUUUGAAUAAUUCUGUUAACGUAGCAGUUUCUCCAUUUAUCUCUUGGCUACACCCACUUCUUGGAGUAUUGAAACUUAAUUUUGAAUGCCUGGUUCCAGUUAAUAUUGCAGGGUCUGCAUUUGUAAUCCAUGAUUAUCAGGGAAGGGUAGUUGCAGCAGGAGCAAAGCAGCUACGACAUGGUUCUGUUGUGUUUGCUGUUAACUUGUUGCUGCCUGGUGUGGUCUACAAAUUUUUGCACGUAAGCUGGGAGCUCAGCAAUUAUGGAUGGUGGGGGAGACUAAACAACAGUUUCGAGUUGGCUUACCAAUCCUUCCUCUAAACAUGCAAACUUUCCCUGGAUGCAGGAUAUUAAUAGGUGGAUGGCCUCUAUAUGGGCAACUAAAGUUUCUCAUGUAUCGCAAAAAAGAAAUCAUGCAGCAGAUUGGCUAGCUGCUUAAGCUUAUUAGUGUGACCUUAGCAUCUCAGAAACAGAUGGGAUUGAUCCUGAGCUGGAUCAUAUAUUGACUGCAGAUGGAUUAGGACUUGUAUAUAUCAGGGCCUAGGCCCUAUUUUGCUCUUUAACUUAUAAUUCUUACUGUUUCAGGAACCUUGUGUCCUCCUCUUUUUUAUCAGAGAAAAAAGGUGGCAGCCUGUCCCAAAUAUUUCAAUCCUUUCAUAUCUCAAUGAAGGUAGGAUUUGUUUCUACAACCAUCAAGUGAUUUCACCAACUUGAUUAAUUGGCAAAUUCAUGUUAUGCGCUUAACCUGUAACCAAUCGCUCUACACGUUUUUACUGUUUGCACGUGUGCAUGAACCAAUACAAUCCUGCCUCUCUCUUCGCCUGAAAU